rnacentral:rRNA from 1 species
AUACGUAGGGUGCAAGCGUUGUUCGGAAUUACUGGGCGUAAAGCGUGCGUAGGCGGCUUUGUAAGUCCGUUGUGAAAUCCCACGGCUCAACUGUGGAACUGCAAUGGAUACUGCAAAGCUAGAGUUCGGGAGAGGCAAGCGGAAUUCCUGGUGAAGGGGUGAAAUCCGUAGAUAUCAGGAAGAACACCGGUGGCGAAGGCGGCUUGCUGGAACGCAACUGACGCUCAGGCACGAAAGCGUGGGGAGCAAACAGGAUUAGAAACCCCGGUAGUCC